GUGGCAGUAGCUCAAUAGUGGAGCUUCCGCUUCGUAUACGCGGGAAGACCUGGAUUCGAUUCCCGGCUGCUUUC
rnacentral:tRNA from 1 species